rnacentral:rRNA from 1 species
UGAAGUAAAAGUCUUAACAAGGUCUCCGUUGGUGAACCAGCGGAGGGAUCAUUA